rnacentral:rRNA from 1 species
GACGAACGCUGGCGGCGUGCCUAAUACAUGCAAGUCGAGCGGACUUUCAAGAAGCUUGCUUUUUGAAAGUUAGCGGCGGACGGGUGAGUAACACGUGGGCAACCUGCCUGUAAGACGGGGAUAACUCCGGGAAACCGGGGCUAAUACCGGAUAAUAUCUUUCUUCGCAUGAAGGAAGGUUGAAAGGCGGCGCAAGCUGCCGCUUGCAGAUGGGCCCGCGGCGCAUUAGCUAGUUGGUGAGGUAACGGCUCACCAAGGCGACGAUGCGUAGCCGACCUGAGAGGGUGAUCGGCCACACUGGGACGGAGACACGGCCCAGACUCCUACGGGAGGCAGCAGUAGGGAAUCUUCCGCAAUGGACGAAAGUCUGACGGAGCAACGCCGCGUGAGCGAAGAAGGUCUUCGGAUCGUAAAGCUCUGUUGUCAGGGAAGAACAAGUACCGUUCGAAUAGGGCGGUACCUUGACGGUACCUGACCAGAAAGCCACGGCUAACUACGUGCCAGCCGCCGCAGUAA